UGGGGAAUAUUGCACAAUGGGCGCAAGCCUGAUGCAGCCAUGCCGCGUGUGUGAAGAAGGCCUUCGGGUUGUAAAGCACUUUCAGCGGGGAGGAAGGCGUUAAGGUUAAUAACCUUGGCGAUUGACGUUACCCGCAGAAGAAGCACCGGCUAACUCCGUGCCAGCAGCCGCGGUAAUACGGAGGGUGCAAGCGUUAAUCGGAAUUACUGGGCGUACAGCGCACGCAGGCGGUCUGUCAAGUCGGAUGUGAAAUCCCCGGGCUCAACCUGGGAACUGCAUUCGAAACUGGCAGGCUAGAGUCUUGUAGAGGGGGGUAGAAUUCCAGGUGUAGCGGUGAAAUGCGUAGAGAUCUGGAAGAAUACCGGUGGCGAAGGCGGCCCCCUGGACAAAGACUGACGCUCAGGUGCGAAAGCGUGGGGAGCAAACAGG
rnacentral:rRNA from 1 species